rnacentral:rRNA from 1 species
UACGAAGGGGGCUAGCGUUGCUCGGAAUUACUGGGCGUAAAGGGCGCGUAGGCGGAUAUCUAAGUUGGGGGUGAAAUCCCGGGGCUCAACCUCGGAAUUGCCUUCAAAACUGGAUAUCUUGAGUUCGGGAGAGGUGAGUGGAACUCCGAGUGUAGAGGUGAAAUUCGUAGAUAUUCGGAAGAACACCAGUGGCGAAGGCGACUCACUGGCCCGAUACUGACGCUGAGGCGCGAAAGCGUGGGGAGCGAACAGG